AUCAACCUUCAGUUCUUCGAUUUAAUUCAGUUCAAAUUACAAGUUAAUAAUCGACAAUAAAAUAAAAAUGUGUAAAUUAUUUUUAAUAUUGUUAAUUUUAACAUCAAUCCUGUCUUUAUCUUUUUCAACAAAUAAUUCUGAUUGUGCAGAAGAAAAAUAUUCAUACGAAUUACAAUUAAAUCUAAAAGAUCCAGAUGUGGUUAAAUUCGCGGAAGUUGGCUGGAACAAAUUAGUAGCUGAAGGAAAAACCAGUGGACAGACGAGAAAAAAUAAUUUUUAUUAUAUUAUUUGCGCAAGAGUCCAAGUUAUAGACACUGAAAGAAGAUACACCAUAAUUAUUUCAUUUCCUAUUUAUUUUCCCAGCAGUGUUGAUAUUUUUAUUUGUAUAAUAAUUGUUAUGACUAAUCAAACGGAUCCUUUAAGUAUAAGUUGUCAUCCGGAAAGUCUUAUAGAUUUACACGACGCCUGUAUGUAGCAACGUAAUCAGUGGGAUCUCUACUACCUAGAUAGUCGAAUCUGUCAUAAGCCGGGAAAAAAAGAUUAGAUCUGACUAUAUAUAAAAAGAUCAGGUUCAGAUUUACCUUAGCAGAUCUAGCCAGAUCUUUAAAUUGUCCAUAUCUGACGAGAUCUGGCCAGAUAUAAUCAGAUCUGACCAGAUAUAACUCAAAAAAUAAUCUGAUUAGAUCUGACCAGAUCUGGUCAGAUCUUUAAAUUGUCUCUAUCUGGCAAGACAUAGCCAGAUAGAACUAGAUCUGACGAGAUAUACUAAAAAAUUGUUUACAUUAAAUAUCACAAGAUCUGAAUAGAUGUAUUGAGAUCUGAUCAGAUAUAACAAAAUAAUAGCUAAAUAAUCAAAUCAACAAAAAUUACAAUUUCAUGGAACAAUAUCCAGUGAGUACUAUUUUCUUUUCACACUUUGCGUAUCUGUCUUCAUUAAUUACUAAAAAAAAAUUUUAUUUAAUAAAAGCUAGUUGAAAAUACCUACAUGUAUCAAUUAAUCUUUAACAAAUAUCUGAUCAAUAUAUUUCUCAAUAAAUAUAUGGUAAGAAUUAAA